rnacentral:rRNA from 1 species
AUUGAACGCUGGCGGCAGGCCUAACACAUGCAAGUCGAACGGAGCGGCGGACGGGUGAGUGAUACCUAGGACUCGGCAUGUUCGUGGGGGAUAACGUCCGGUAACGGGCGCUGAUACUGCAUCCUAUCAUAUGAGCCUAGGUCGGCUUAGCUAGGUGGUGGGGUAAAGGCCUACCAAGGCGACGAUCCGUAACUGGUCUGAGAGGAUGAUCAGUCACACUGGAACUGAGACACGGUCCAGACUCCUACGGGAGGCAGCAGUGGGGAAUAUUGGACAAUGGGCGAAAGCCUGAUCCAGCCAUGCCGCGUGUGUGAAGAAGGUCUUCGGAUUGUAAAGCACUUUAAGUUGGGAGGCGUUACCAACAGAAUAAGCACCGGCUAACUUCGUGCCAGCAGCCGCGGUAAUAC